GCCUAGUUAGCUUAGUUGGUAGUGAGCCUGCCUUGUAAGCGCUAGGCCGCGGGUUCGAUUCCCGCCCGGGGCG
rnacentral:tRNA from 1 species